CAGUAGCCACGGUAAUACAGAGGGUGCGAGCGUUAAUCGGAUUUACUGGGCGUAAAGCGUGCGUAGGCGGCUUCUUAAGUCGGAUGUGAAAUCCCUGAGCUUAACCUAGGAAUUGCAUUCGAUACUGGGAAGCUAGAGUAUGGGAGAGGAUGGUAGAAUUCCAGGUGUAGCGGUGAAAUGCGUAGAGAUCUGGAGGAAUACCGAUGGCGAAGGCAGCCAUCUGGCCUAAUACUGACGCUGAGGUACGAAAGCAUGGGGAGCAAACAGGAUUAGAUACCCCCGUAGUCCCUGUCUCUUAUAC
rnacentral:rRNA from 1 species